UUGCGUUGAUGUUCUUCCUCUUGUUGCCUGACCUUUGCCUAAUCCAGUUUUCCCUUCAGGUUCACAGGUGUCCUGUGGGAGAUUUCCUCAGUCAGUGCCUCACCUGUUUAUUUUCCAGACCGCCUGGCCAGCUCACACUUGUCUUCUGAAAGACUUCAAGCAAGAGAGGAUCUUUGCAGAAGCGUGUGCGUGGGCUGAAGACCGGCCGAGAGGAGCAGCGACAGUAGCGCCGAGCAGAAGUACUCUGCAUUUACAGCCAGCUACAUAUGGUGCGCUCGCGCUCAUGAAUGAACGGCGGGGAGAGAAAAAUCUAUGAUGGACCCCAGGACACUCACCCCCCGACAUAUCAACCGAGCCGAGUUUGGGGAUGGAUACGACGCAGGCGGUCGCUUGAUCUAGACCUGCAUAAUUACUCUGCAUCAAUCAGAUGUCGGAUCAUAUGGGCUGAUCUGAAGAGGAUUCAUCUGUCGGUUUUUUGUGGAGUCAUCCAGUAUGUCUGAUAAAGAAUCUACUGGAUGUGGUACAACAUCAGUAUUAUGUGUCAGCUUCAGU